ACACACACACACACACACAUCAUGAAGAGUUGUUCAGUGCCUUUCUUUUCUUUUGCUAAGGGAUGUGCGACUGUAGCUGAUGUUGAGUCUUCCAAGCCUACCUGUGACGCCUCGCCUGAUAUUACUAGGUGAACGACAAGGUAAUCAUCAAAAGUGGAUGGUCAGCAUUGAAUCAUUAAUCGUUUGUGAAGGGUCCAACCUCGCCACAUUUCUAACAGGGAUUGCGACAUGUUUCUCCACCUUCUAUAUUCUGAAUCUGCAAUAUCAGGAGGAGGCAGCGUGCACCCUUGAAUUCUUCCAGAGAAAAAGGCCCAGAAGAAGCCUAAGAACAAUCACUAAUAAGUAAAGUGAAUGUUACUUGAUUUCUCAUGAAU